GACGAACGCUGGCGGCGUGCCUAACACAUGCAAGUCGAACGGGGUGAUUCCUUCGGGGAUCACUUAGUGGCGAACGGGUGAGUAACGCGUGAGAAACCUGCCUUUCAGUGGGGGACAACAGUUGGAAACGACUGCUAAUACCGCAUAAUGUCAUUUGGGGGCAUCCCCGAGUGACCAAAGCUUUAUGUGCUGAAAGAUGGUCUCGCGUCUGAUUAGCUAGAUGGCGGGGUAACGGCCCACCAUGGCGACGAUCAGUAGCCGGUCUGAGAGGAUGAACGGCCACAUUGGGACUGAGAUACGGCCCAGACUCCUACGGGAGGCAGCAGUGGGGAAUAUUGGGCAAUGGGGGAAACCCUGACCCAGCAACGCCGCGUGAAGGAAGAAGGCUUUCGGGUUGUAAACUUCUUUUACCAGGGACGAAGAACGUGACGGUACCUGGAGAAAAAGCAACGGCUAACUACGUG
rnacentral:rRNA from 1 species